UCUAACAGCAUUAGAGGAAAAUGGGUACUGGGAACAGGCACGCAAUUGGGCCAGGCAGUUGGAGGCCAGUGGUGGACCUUGGAAGUCUGCUCUCAACCAUGUUACAGAAACACAGGCCGAGUCUAUGGUGGCUGAGUGGAAGGAGUUUCUUUGGGAUGUCCCAGAAGAGAGGGUUGCUUUAUGGGGUCACUGCCAAACAUUGUUUGUUAGAUAUUCCUUCCCUGCAUUGCAGGCAGGGUUGUUUUUCCUAAAACAUGCAGGAGCUGUGGAGAAAGACCUUCCAGCAGCAGAACUUCAUGAAAUGUUGCUUCUUUCUUUACAAUGGUUGAGUGGGAUGAUAACUCUCUCCAACCCAGUUUAUCCAUUGCAUCUUUUGCGAGAGAUUGAGACUAGAGUAUGGCUCCUGGCAGUAGAAUCAGAAGCUCAGGUGAAAAGUGAAGGGGACAUCAACCUGACCAGCUCUAGCAGGGUUCCUGGGACUGGAAAGAGUUCCAACAUUAUAGAUCACACGGCUAGCAUUAUAACAAAAAUGGACAAUCAUAUAAGUAAAAUGAGGAUUAAAAGUUCAGAGAGAAAUGAGCCAAGGGAUAGUAACCAGGCACAUCAGAAAUUUUCACAAGGUGUGGACACUAGCUUUCCAGUGGGGGGGAGUGCAAAAGCAAAACGUAGAGCCAAAGGCAUCCCACCAUCAAGGAGGACUCUAAUGGAUACCACUGAAAAAAUUAAUGAUUACGAGGAUGGUAACUUUGCCCCCAACUUCAGAAAUGAUUUGCAUUUGCAAGAGGACAACUUCAAAAUGGAAAUAUCCUUUUCAAGGUGGGAAGAAAGGGUGGGACCCGAAGAACUGGAGAGAGCAGUUCUUUCUUUGUUAGAGUUUGGGCAAAUAACAGCUGCAAAACAACUCCAGAAUAAGCUAGCUCCAGGAUACAUACCGCCUGAAUUUGUACUUGUAGACACUGCUUUAAAGCUUGCUGCUAUCUCAACUCCCAGUAAUCGAGCAUCUAUAGCAGUGCUGGACGAGGAUGUGCGUUCCGCUAUUCAGUCAUACAAUAUAUCGAUUGAAAGCUAUGUGAUUGACCCCUUGCAGGUAUUGGAGAGUCUAACCUCCAUAUUUACAGAAGGCAGUGGACGUGGGCUAUGUAAGAGAAUAAUAGCCGUUGUAAAAGCUGCAAAUGCAUUAGGCAUUUCUUUCUCGGAGGCUUUUGAUAAGCAACCAAUUGAACUGCUACAGCUGCUUUCUCUUAAAGCACAAGAUUCCUUUGAGCAAGCAAAUCUCUUGGUGCAAACUCAUUCUAUGCCUGCUGCUAGUAUUGCUCAAGUUCUUGCAGAAUCCUUUUUAAAGGGCUUAUUAGCUGCACAUCGUGGGGGAUAUAUGGAUUCCCAGAAGGAGGAAGGGCCUGCUCCUCUACUCUGGAGAUUCUCAGACUUCUUAAAGUGGGCGGAGCUCUGUCCAUCAGAGCCAGAAAUUGGCCAUGCAUUGAUGCGUUUAGUGAUUACUGGCCAAGAAAUACCACAUGCCUGUGAGGUUGAGCUUCUUAUAUUGUCGCACCACUUCUACAAGUCCUCAGCUUGUCUUGAUGGAGUUGAUGUUCUCGUAUCCCUUGCAGCAACUAGAGUAGACGCUUAUGUCACAGAGGGCGACUUUCCAUGCUUGGCUCGCUUGAUAACUGGAGUGGGGAAUUUCCAUACCCUUAAUUUCAUUCUUGGAAUUCUUAUAGAAAAUGGUCGGCUGGAUCUUCUACUUCAGAAGUUCUCAGCUGCAGCAGACACAAAUACAGGCAUUGCUGAGGCUAUAAGAGGAUUCCGCAUGGCUGUUCUCACAACAUUGAAGCAAUUUAACCCACAUGAUCUUGAUGCGUUUGCUAUGAUUUAUAAUCAUUUUGACAUGAAGCAUGAAACAGCUUUUCUUCUAGAGUCACGAGCUGAGCAAUCAUCUCAGCAGUGGUUCCUUCGUUAUGACAAAGACCAGAAUGAGGAUCUCCUGGAUUCAAUGCGCUAUUAUAUUGAAGCAGCAGAAGUUCACUCCUCCAUUGAUGCUGGCAAUAAAACACAUGCUGCUUGUGCACGUGCCUCCCUUGUCUCCCUUCAAAUACGGAUGCCAGAUUUCCAGUGGCUGAAUCUAUCUGAAACUAAUGCGCGACGAGCACUUGUUGAGCAGUCCCGUUUCCAAGAGGCGCUGAUUGUUGCAGAAGCCUAUGGUCUUAACCAGCCAAGCGAAUGGGCUCUGGUCCUGUGGAAUCAGAUGCUGAAACCAGAGCUUACGGAACAGUUUGUGGCUGAGUUUGUGGCCGUCCUUCCACUCCAACCUUCAAUGCUUGCUGAUCUAGCAAGGUUUUACAGGGCUGAGGUGGCAGCCAGAGGGGACCAGUCCCAGUUUUCAGUUUGGUUAACAGGGGGAGGGCUCCCAGCCGACUGGGCUAAGUAUCUGGGGAGAUCAUUUAGAUGUUUAUUAAAAAGGACAAGGGAUUUGAGGUUGCAAUUGCAGCUGGCCACGGUUGCCACUGGGUUUAGUGAUGUAAUUGAUGCGUGCACGAAGGCACUAGAUAAGGUGCCUGAGAAUGCUGGGCCACUUGUGCUGAGGAAAGGCCAUGGAGGGGGUUAUCUCCCUCUGAUGUAAUGUUCAACAAAAAAGCCAGAUGAUUGUAGUAGAGUUGUUGAUUUUGCAUUGCUGCUGAGGAUCAUAACAUGAUCGGAAAUGAUGCUCAUGCUGCUAUGCAACUGAUUAAAUUUGGCACUUCAUCCCCCGGUGGAAAUAUGGGCAACAAAGCUCGAAAACAUUGGCAGUAUUGGCAAGAUUGUUUGAUCCUGAUACAUACAUGCAUGCAUACAGUGGGAAGAAGCAGCACCUUGUAAUUUCAGUUGAAGAGCCCCCUCAGAUAUUUCUCCAAUUUUAUUUUUUGUGAAAACCAAAGCAGCAAUUUUCUGUUAGACCAUCUAUAGGUAGGUUAGAGCAAUGCUGAAACAAAAGAAAACAAAGAAGGGCCUGCAUAGAUCAUAAGGGCUGUUGGAAAACUAGUUUGACACUUGGGUGCACCGUGUUCAAAUUGAAGCUCUGGAGGGUGGGUCUUGAUAGCAACAAAAAAGUUUCUCCUUGUAAGGAGGACGCAAUGUUGAAACAACGGGCAGCAAAUAAAACACUGAAAAUAACUCCAUUUCAGACCUAAAAUAGCAUAGUAGCAGUAGCUUCUUUGUAACCUCUCAGGCCAAAGUAUGGCAACAAUGGAGAGAUUAGCAGUAGCUUUAUUUUAGCAGUCGCUUCUUUAUUGUUUGGAUCUUUACGUUUUGGCCUUUUUUCUCUCCCCCUUCUUUCUUCUCUUCAUUUUCCUUCUUUGACCCUCGGCAGUGUCGAUAAGUGCCUGAAACUCCUCAGAUCUCGCCGAGGCUCGAUUUUCCAGUGGGCUGUCAAUUUUCCGGCGACCUGAUUCAUCCUCAAUUUUCGUUCAGAAUUUCCUCUUUUUGGUCUUAAUUGAAAGCUCGUGUUGCUCAAAUUAGAAAUUCUCUCUUAGAUUUACCACAAGCUUGCCAAAACACUCGAAUUUUCAAUGGCGAUACCCCUAUUUGUAGGUCUUCUCUAGCCACCCAACCUUCCAAAACGGCCAAUGGGAGGCGAAGAUUUCGCCGGAGGGUUAGAGUACUCAAGUACCUUUGCUAUAGGCUAUAGCCCACCAUCAGGGUGUCAGCGUCACCAGUCGGUGAAGCAGAUAUUCGUUCGGUUUUCUCAAAUCUCAUUUCUUUCCAAGUUUUUUCCAACAAUUUCACAUAGGCCUUUAUUCUUUUUUUUGAAAUUUCAGUUGGUCCCAUCCCUUUCUCUUGAUUAUUCUUCUAAUGUAGUUCCAAAAUUGCAUCUUGGUCCCUACCAAUAUUUUUAAUUC